AGAGUUUGAUCCUGGCUCAGAACGAACGCUGGCGGCGUGGAUAAGGCAUGCAAGUCGAGCGAGAAAGUUCCCUUCGGGGAGCGAGUACAGCGGCAAACGGGUGAGUACCACGUGGGUAACUUGCCUUCGGGUGGGGGACAACCUCGGGAAACCGAGGCUAAUACCGCAUAACGUUAUGCUUUCGCAUGUUAGCAUAACCAAAGGAGGGGAUCUUCGGACCUUUCGCCAAAUGAGGAGCCCGCGUCUGAUUAGCUAGUUGGUGGGGUAACGGCCUACCAAGGCGAUGAUCAGUAGCCGGUCUGAGAGGAUGGCCGGUCACACUGGGAUUGAGAUACGGCCCAGACUCCUACGGGAGGCAGCAGUCUAGAAGCUUCGACAAUGGACGAAAGUCUGAUCGAGCGACGCCGCGUGCAGGACGAAGGUUUUCGGAUCGUAAACUGCUUUCGACAGGGAAGAACGGUAUAUAGGCUAAUAUCUUAUAUAUUUGACGGUACCUGCAGAAGAAGCCCCGGCUAACUCCGUGCCAGCAGCCGCGGUAAUACGGAGGGGGCAAGCGUUGUUCGGAUUUAUUGGGCGUAAAGCGAGCGCAGGCUGUUUUUUAAGUCGGAUGUUAAAGACCCACGGCUCAACCGGGGGAAUGCGUUCGAUACUGAAAGACUUGAGUGCAAGAGAGGAUAGCGGAAUUCCUGGUGUAGCGGUGAAAUGCGUAGAUAUCAGGAGGAACACCUGUGGCGAAGGCGGCUAUCUGGCUUGUUACUGACGCUGAGGCUCGAAAGUGUGGGGAGCGAACGGGAUUAGAUACCCCGGUAGUCCACACCGUAAACGAUGGAUACUAGGUGUGGGAGGCGUUCUACCCCUUCUGUGCCGCAGCUAACGCAUUAAGUACACCGCCUGGGGAGUACGGUCGCAAGACUGAAACUCAAAGGAAUUGACGGGGGCCCGCACAAGCGGUGGAGCAUGUGGUUUAAUUCGAGGCAACGCGAAGAACCUUACCCAGGCUUGACAUCACCGUAAGGUACCGUGCCUUCCUGGAAACUUCGGGGAAUCCGAAGACAGGUGUUGCAUGGCUGUCGUCAGCUCGUGUCGUGAGAUGUUGGGUUAAGUCCCGCAACGAGCGCAACCCCUAUCCUUAGUUACCAGCGGUUCGGCCGGGGACUCUAAGGAAACUGCCGGUUUCAAGCCGGAGGAAGGUGGGGACGACGUCAAGUCAUCAUGGCCCUUAUGUCCUGGGCUACACACGUGCUACAAUGGCCGGUACAGUGGGCAGCAAUACCGCGAGGUGGAGCGAAUCCCAAAAAGCCGGUCUCAGUUCGGAUUGGAGUCUGCAACUCGACUCCAUGAAGUCGGAAUCGCUAGUAAUCGCGUAUCAGCUACGACGCGGUGAAUACGUUCCCGGGCCUUGUACACACCGCCCGUCACAUGACCCGAGUCGGUUGCACCCGAAGUCACUGGCCCAACCCGCAAGGGAGGGAGGUGCCGAAGGUGUGAUUGGUAAGGGGGAUGAAGUCGUAACAA
rnacentral:rRNA from 1 species